rnacentral:SRP_RNA from 1 species
GCCAGGUGUGGUGGCUCAUGCCUGUAAUCCCAGCACUUUGGGAGGCCGAGGCGGGUGGAUCACCUGAGGUCAGGAGUUCGCGACCAGCCUGACCAACAUGGUGAAACCCCGUCUCUA